CUAAAGGCUUUGGGAAAAUCAAAAGCCACCUAAAAUUACAAUCAAAUUAAAU
rfam:Dipodomys ordii contig_67266, whole genome shotgun sequence.